GACGAACCGUGCGAACGUUAUUCGGAAUCACUGGGCUUAAAGGGCGCGUAGGCGGGCCACCAAGUCCGGGGUGAAAUCCUCCAGCUCAACUGGAGAACUGCCUCGGAUACUGGAGGUCUCGAGGGAGAUAGGGGCACGCGGAACUGUGGGUGGAGCGGUGAAAUGCGUUGAUAUCCAUAGGAACUCCGGUGGCGAAGGCGGCGUGCUGGAUCUCUUCUGACGCUGAGGCGCGAAAGCGUGGGUAGCAAACAGG
rnacentral:rRNA from 1 species